rnacentral:rRNA from 1 species
UACCGGCCCCGCGAGUGGUCGGGGUGAUUAUUGGGCCUAAAGCGCCCGUAGCCGGCCCGGUGUGUCCUCCCUUAAACCCCCGGGCUCAACCCGGGGAAUGGGGAGGAUACUACCGGGCUAGGGGGCGGGAGAGGCCGAGGGUACUCCCGGGGUAGGGGCGAAAUCCGUUAAUCCCGGGAGGACCACCCGUGGCGAAGGCGCUCGGCUGGACCGCGCCCGACGGUGAGGGGCGAAAGCCGGGGGAGCGAACCGG